rnacentral:rRNA from 1 species
GACGAACGCUGGCGGCACGCUUAACACAUGCAAGUCGAACGAGAGAAGAGAAGCUUGCUUUUCUGAUCUAGUGGCGGACGGGUGAGUAACACGUGAGCAAUCUGCCUUUCAGAGGGGGAUACCGAUUGGAAACGAUCGUUAAUACCGCAUAAUAUAAUUGAACCGCAUGAUUUGAUUAUCAAAGAUUUAUCGCUGAAAGAUGAGCUCGCGUCUGAUUAGCUAGUUGGUAAGGUAACGGCUUACCAAGGCGACGAUCAGUAGCCGGACUGAGAGGUUGAUCGGCCACAUUGGGACUGAGACACGGCCCAGACUCCUACGGGAGGCAGCAGUGGGGAAUAUUGCACAAUGGAGGAAACUCUGAUGCAGCGAUGCCGCGUGAGGGAAGAAGGUUUUAGGAUUGUAAACCUCUGUCUUCAGGGACGAAAAAAGACGGUACCUGAGGAGGAAGCUCCGGCUAACUACGUGCCAGCAGCCGCGGUAAUACGUAGGGAGCGAGCGUUGUCCGGAAUUACUGGGUGUAAAGGGAGCGUAGGCGGGAUCGCAAGUCAGAUGUGAAAACCAUGGGCUUAACCCAUAAACUGCAUUUGAAACUGUGGUUCUUGAGUGAAGUAGAGGUAAGCGGAAUUCCUAGUGUAGCGGUGAAAUGCGUAGAUAUUAGGAGGAACAUCAGUGGCGAAGGCGGCUUACUGGGCUUUAACUGACGCUGAGGCUCGAAAGCGUGGGGAGCAAACAGGAUUAGAUACCCUGGUAGUCCACGCCGUAAACGAUGAUUACUAGGUGUGGGGGGACUGACCCCUUCCGUGCCGCAGCAAACGCAAUAAGUAAUCCACCUGGGGAGUACGACCGCAAGGUUGAAACUCAAAGGAAUUGACGGGGGCCCGCACAAGCAGUGGAGUAUGUGGAUUAAUUCGAAGCAACGCGAAGAACCUUACCAGGUCUUGACAUCGUAUGCAUAGCUCAGAGAUGAGUGAAAUCUCUUCGGAGACAUAUAGACAGGUGGUGCAUGGUUGUCGUCAGCUCGUGUCGUGAGAUGUUGGGUUAAGUCCCGCAACGAGCGCAACCCUUACUGUUAGUUGCUACGCAAGAGCACUCUAGCAGGACUGCCGUUGACAAAACGGAGGAAGGUGGGGAUGACGUCAAAUCAUCAUGCCCCUUGUGACCUGGGCCUCACACGUACUACAAUGGCUGUCAACAGAGGGAAGCAAAGCCGCGAGGUGGAGCAAACCCCUAAAAGCAGUCUUAGUUCGGAUUGUAGGCUGCAACCCGCCUACAUGAAGUCGGAAUUGCUAGUAAUCGCAGAUCAGCAUGCUGCGGUGAAUACGUUCCCGGGCCU